AAGAGACAGCAGUCGCCGCGGUAAUACAGAGGGUGCGAGCGUUAAUCGGAUUUACUGGGCGUAAAGCGUGCGUAGGCGGCUUCUUAAGUCGGAUGUGAAAUCCCUGAGCUUAACUUAGGAAUUGCAUUCGAUACUGGGAAGCUAGAGUAUGGGAGAGGAUGGUAGAAUUCCAGGUGUAGCGGUGAAAUGCGUAGAGAUCUGGAGGAAUACCGAUGGCGAAGGCAGCCAUCUGGCCUAAUACUGACGCUGAGGUACGAAAGCAUGGGGAGCAAACAGGAUUAGAGACCCCCGUAGUCCCUGUCUCUUAUAC
rnacentral:rRNA from 1 species